CGGGUAGACAGGGAGACAGGUGGUGCAUGGUUGUCGUCAGCUCGUGUCGUGAGAUGUUGGGUUAAGUCCCGCAACGAGCGCACCCUUACGGUUAGUUGCCAGCGGGUUAUGCCGGGCACUCUAGCUGAACUGCCGUUGACAAAACGGAGGAAGGUGGGAUGACGUCAAAUCAUCAUGCCCUUUAUGUCCUGGGCUACACACGUGCUACAAUGGCCUGUACAGAGGGAAGCGAAAGGGUGACCUGGAGCGAAUCCCAAAAAGCAGGUCUCAGUUCGGAUUGCAGGCUGCAACCCGCCUGCAUGAAGUCGGAAUCGCUAGUAAUCGCAGGUCAGCAUACUGUGGUGAAUACGUUCCCGGGCCUU
rnacentral:rRNA from 1 species